rnacentral:rRNA from 1 species
UACGUAGGGGCAAGCGUUGUCCGGAAUCAUUGGGCGUAAAGGGCGCGUAGGCGGCUUUCAAGUGACGGGUGAAAUCCCUCGGCUUAACCGAGGAACUGCCUGUCAGACUGGAAGGCUUGAGACCGGGAGAGGUGAGUGGAAUUCCAGUGUAGCGGUGAAAUGCGUAGAUAUUGGGAAGGAACACCUGUGGCGAAGGCGACCCCUGGUUGGAUACUGACGCUGAGACGCGAAAGCGUGGGGAGCAAACAGG